rnacentral:rRNA from 1 species
GAUAAACGCCAGCGGCAGGCUUAACACAUGCAAGUCGAGGGGCAGCAUAGAUUGUAGCAAUACAAUUGGUGGCGACCGGCGCACGGGUGCGUAACGCGUAUGCAACCUACCCGUCACAGGGGGAUAAUCCGGAGAAAUCUGGUCUAAUACCCCAUAACAUAUGGAUCGGCAUCGGUUCAUGUUGAAAUUUUCGGAGGUGACGGAUGGGCAUGCGUAGCAUUAGCUUGUUGGUGAGGUAACGACUCACUAAGGCGACGAUGCUUAGGGGGACUGAGAGGUUUUCCCCCCACACUGGUACUGAGACACGGACCAGACUCCUACGGGAGGCAGCAGUGAGGAAUAUUGGCCAAUGGGCGCAAGCCUGAACCAGCCAUGCCGCGUGCAGGAUGACGGCUCUAUGAGUUGUAAACUGCUUUUGUACGAGGGUAAAGUGGGUUACGUGUAACCUUUUGAAAGUAUCGUACGAAUAAGGAUCGGCUAACUCCGUGCCAGCCGCCGCCGUAA